CAAGACGUAGCUAUAAAAUAAAGCAUUCAGCUUACACCUGAAAGAUAUCUGACAUACACCAGAUCGUCUUGA
rnacentral:tRNA from 1 species